rnacentral:rRNA from 1 species
AGUGAACGCUGGCGGUAGGCCUAACACAUGCAAGUCGAACGGCAGCACAGUAAGAGCUUGCUCUUACGGGUGGCGAGUGGCGGACGGGUGAGGAAUACAUCGGAAUCUACUUUUUCGUGGGGGAUAACGUAGGGAAACUUACGCUAAUACCGCAUACGACCUACGGGUGAAAGCAGGGGAUCUUCGGACCUUGCGCGAUUGAAUGAGCCGAUGUCGGAUUAGCUAGUUGGCGGGGUAAGGGCCCACCAAGGCGACGAUCCGUAGCUGGUCUGAGAGGAUGAGAGGCCACAUUAGGAAGGAGAAAAGGCGCGAAGGACUGCGGGAGGGCGCAGGAGGGAAGGGGGGGAAAUGGACGCAAGUAUGAAGGAGCAAAGGGGGGUGAGUGAAGGAGGUCUUCGGAUCGUAAAGCGCUGUUGCGAGAGAAGAACAGCGCACAGAGGAAAUGUUGGGCGUGUGACGGUAGGUAAUAAGAAAGCAACGGCUAACUACGGG